GACGAACGCUGGCGGCGUGCUUAACACAUGCAAGUCGAACGGAAAGGCCCUGCUUUUGUGGGGUGCUCGAGUGGCGAACGGGUGAGUAACACGUGAGUAACCUGCCCUUGACUUUGGGAUAACUUCAGGAAACUGGGGCUAAUACCGGAUAGGAGCUCCUGCUGCAUGGUGGGGGUUGGAAAGUUUCGGCGGUUGGGGAUGGACUCGCGGCUUAUCAGCUUGUUGGUGGGGUAGUGGCUUACCAAGGCUUUGACGGGUAGCCGGCCUGAGAGGGUGACCGGCCACAUUGGGACUGAGAUACGGCCCAGACUUCUACGGGAGGCAGCAGGGGGGAAUAUUGCACAAUGGGCGGAAGCCUGAUGCAGCAACGCCGCGUGCGGGAUGACGGCCUUCGGGUGGUAAACCGCUUUCGCCUGUGACGAAGCGUGAGUGACGGUAAUGGGGAAAGAAGCACCGGCUAACUACGU
rnacentral:rRNA from 1 species